GAUGAACGCUGGCGGCGUGCCUAAUACAUGCAAGUCGAGCGAACAGAUGAGGAGCUUGCUCCUCUGACGUUAGCGGCGGACGGGUGAGUAACACGUGGAUAACCUACCUAUAAGACUGGGAUAACUUCGGGAAACCGGAGCUAAUACCGGAUAAUAUAUUGAACCGCAUGGUUCAAUAGUGAAAGACGGUUUUGCUGUCACUUAUAGAUGGAUCCGCGCCGCAUUAGCUAGUUGGUAAGGUAACGGCUUACCAAGGCGACGAUGCGUAGCCGACCUGAGAGGGUGCACGGCACACUGGGAACGAAAACCGGUGCCAGGGACGAGGGGAAGGGGCGUAAUGGGAUUCUCCCGCAAGGGGAGAAAGCGUGAAGGGCCAAGGCCGCGGGAGUGAAGAGGUGCUCGGGUUCUUAAAACCUUUUAAUAGGGGAAGAAAAAAUGUGUAAGUACCAUGCCCCUUUUGAACGGACCCGAAACAAAAACCCCGGGAAAAUAACGG
rnacentral:rRNA from 1 species